rnacentral:lncRNA from 1 species
AAACUAGCUACCAAAGAACUCAAAGAAGAGCAAAAAACACUUGGAGAGCAGAAUGUCAUCGACUUCUAGCCGCAAGUCUUCCCAUUGUGAACCUUGACAGAGCAUUCAAAGCAAUACAAACACGAGAACACAACAUGCCAUUUGCCACUAUUGCCUCUAUCAACCUUAUUGAUGUAGCACUAGCCCGAUCUUCUAAAAGGUAGUGAUAAAUUUGAUUGGUGGAGACUCGACGUUGAUGAUCCGG